CUACUUGUUACUCUUUUGUGGUCUUCACAAGGGUGCUGCUGUGUGACAGAAACAAAGCCAAAAAAAGAAGUAGAUAAGUACAUUAAGGAGACACCUUCAGCUAUGACCCAUGGUUUCUGGAAGGUGGGCAGGGAGACCUCAGUACAACCAACCCCGCUUGUUAACUGCCAACAGUGGACUUCUGAUGUGCUAUACAUGGUAAAAUGAAGAUCUUAAGAGGCUUAAAGCAUCAUCAUCAUUUCAUAUUGUGCAACUGUUGCUGGCAAGAUUUCGUUAAAAUGCCACCGUUUUCUCUUUAUGAAAUUCAUGCUCACAUGGACACCUUGGACAGUCUCAAAUAACAUCUUUUACACUUUUCAUGCAAGAUGUGUUGGAUUUAAAACAAAACAGAACAAAAUUCAAAAACAAAAACAAGCAAAAUAACCAAACAAACAACAACAAUCAAAAAUAAAUGCCCAAGCUUCCAUUCUGAUGACAUAAGAUGCAAGGAGUCUUUUCUUGGCUUUGAUCGUGGCCAGGUGGACGUAACAAGGCUUUCUGAAACAGAAGAUGCACCUGUCCUGGUAUCUCAGGCAGUCCACAUCCCACAUUGUUGUUCUGCAAGGAUGACGGUGGGGAUGCUGGGUCACCUCCCGGCCCAUCUCCCUGGGCACAGAAGGAAUCACCAUCAGAGACCUGAUGUCACAGCAGAGCCUUGGGUGGUUGGUGGUGCCUGGAAUUGUUGCUCCCUGGUGGUGGGUUUCAGUCCUUUAAGAAAGUGGAGGAUUAGUGUGUGCUGCUUGAAUUCACUCCCUUCGGGACACACUGCCUUUCUGGCUUUUUCUGGCCAUCCUCAAACUGACCUCGAGUUGUAACAGAUGCUGCAAAAAAGGCUUCUAAAUGUAUCAGAUGGUGCUCUCUCUUUUGAAAAUCUGUUUAAACAGCUGGGACGAGUUAAGUUGUAAAGGUCUGUUUGUGAUGUAGGUUCCACAGGGAGAGCUGAAUUGAAGAAGGUAUAUAGUAACCUUUUAGAAAAUAAACAAAACCCUUGAAUGUAGUAUUGCUUAACCUUAGCACAGAAAGAUGCAGGGCUUUUACUUCUCCUUCUGUUAACCAAAAUGUAUUUACAGAUUAUGUGUAUUUUUAAAGAUAGCAAACAUCUUUGGAGAUGGUGUCAAAAAAAUGGUAAUAAAGAAUACUCUCUG